CGGCGUGCUUAACACAUGCAAGUCGAACGAGGAAUUACGAAUGAAAUUUUCGGAUGGAAUUUGUUAUUCCGAGUGGCGGACGGGUGAGUAACGCGUGGGUAACCUGCCUUACACAGGGGGACAACAGCCGGAAACGGCUGCUAAUACCGCAUAACCCGCUAGGGCCGCAUGGCCCGGACGGAAAAGAUUUAUCGGUGUAAGAUGGACCCGCGUCUGAUUAGCCAGUUGGCGGGGUAACGGCCCACCAAAGCGACGAUCAGUAGCCGAACUGAGAGGUUGACCGGCCACAUUGGGACUGAGACACGGCCCAGACUCCUACGGGAGGCAGCAGUGGGGAAUAUUGCACAAUGGGGGGAACCCUGAUGCAGCAACGCCGCGUGAGUGAAGAAGUAUUUCGGUAUGUAAAGCUCUAUCAGCAGGGAAGAGAGUGACGGUACCUGCACAAGAAGCCCCGGCUAACUACGUGCCAGCAGCCGCGGUAAUACGUAGGGGGCAAGCGUUAUCCGGAUUUACUGGGUGUAAAGGGAGCGCAGACGGUUGUGUAAGUCAGAAGUGAAAGCCCCCGGCUCAACUGGGGGACUGCUUUUGAAACUAUGUAACUAGAGUGCUGGAGGGGCAGGCGGAAUUCCUGGUGUAGCGGUGAAAUGCGUAGAUAUCAGGAGGAACACCGGUGGCGAAGRCGGCCUKCUGGMCAGUAACUGACGUUGAGGCUCGAAAGCGUGGGGAGCA
rnacentral:rRNA from 1 species